rfam:Freshwater sediment metagenome lwFormaldehyde_C1711, whole genome shotgun sequence.
CCGCCCGUGUCACCGGGUUGAAUCUAGGAGUCUGAAUAAAGAGCGACUCUGACAACGUAGCGAAGCACCGCAAGGUGUGGGAUGCAACUCGCGAGAGGCGUAUCCUUCUGGUAGCCAUACGCCGGAUGAGCGC